rnacentral:rRNA from 1 species
CCAAGACCUCAUGCUCCUGGAGCGGCCGAUAUCUGAUUAGCUAGUUGGUAGGGUAAAAGCCUACCAAGGCAUCGAUCAGUAGCUGGUCUGAGAGGACGACCAGCCACACUGGAACUGAGACACGGUCCAGACUCCUACGGGAGGCAGCAGUGGGGAAUUUUGGACAAUGGGCGCAAGCCUGAUCCAGCAAUGCCGCGUGAGUGAAGAAGGCCUUCGGGUUGUAAAGCUCUUUUGUCAGGGAAGAAACGGGGUUGUCUAAUAUAUGAUUCCUAAUGACGGUACCUGAAG